CAACCCUCAAGCUCGGCUUGUGUGAUGGGCGACCGUCCUUCCCCUAGGGGCGGGACGCGUCCGAAAAGCAGUGGCUAGGCCGCGACUCCGGCGCCUGAGCGAAUGGGACUUCCAACGCUUAUAGGACCGGCCGGCUUCUUUGGCCUUAAAAUCUAGAUCUUUAUUGAUCUAUCUA
rnacentral:misc_RNA from 1 species